AAAUAAGUUGAGGAGCAAUUGAAAUAUUUGGUUAUAUUUAGUAUAUAUUGACAAAUGAACUUGAAAAAGAUUCAUCAUAUCAAGCUUACAAGAGUGAAGAAGACCAAAGUUGAAUUCAUAUUAGAAUUAAGAUUUAGUGCAACUCGAUCGUUGAAGCGCUAAACUGAGUGGAGUCGAUGAAACAAUCCACACAAUAGUCUUAACUAGAUUGGGAUUAAAAUUUAGUUGUCAGGGUUGUAAUGUUAAUCUAGUUUAUUAAGUGAUUUAUUGGCAUAUUUUGGAAAUGAUCAAACGAGAAUAU
rnacentral:misc_RNA from 1 species